UUACUGAAUUGGCCUGCUCAGAGGAAGAGGCGCUAAUGAUUCCAGAAAAGAGGAAGCCAAAGAAGAAGAACAACACAGACUUUGAAAUGGGUCUCUCAAUAGCCAUGAUGACCAAGAUUUUCAACAGGGAAAUGUGGAAAGCUGCCAUAUUCCCAGUCAUUUCUUUGCCAAAUCAUGUGCAGCAGCAGCACAGCCGAGGAAUUCUGCUUUCUUGA